GACGGAGGGUGCUAGCGUUGUUCGGAAUGACUGGGCGUAAAGGGCGCGUAGGCGGCCGGUUGCGUCGGAUGUGAAAGCCCGGGGCUCAACCCCGGAACGGCAUCCGAUACGGGCUGGCUUGAGACCGAGAGAGGUGAGUGGAAUACCCAGUGUAGAGGUGAAAUUCGUAGAUAUUAGGAAGAACACCGGUGGCGAAGGCGGCCCACUGGAUCGGUACUGACGCUGAGGUGCGAAAGCGUGGGGAGCAAACAGG
rnacentral:rRNA from 1 species